rnacentral:rRNA from 1 species
AACGAACGCUGGCGGCAUGCCUAACACAUGCAAGUCGAACGAACCCUUCGGGGUUAGUGGCGCACGGGUGCGUAACGCGUGGGAAUCUGCCCUUUGCUUCGGAAUAACUCAGGGAAACUUGUGCUAAUACCGGAUGAUGUCUUCGGACCAAAGAUUUAUCGGCAAGGGAUGAGCCCGCGUAGGAUUAGGUAGUUGGUGGGGUAAAGGCCUACCAAGCCGACGAUCCUUAGCUGGUCUGAGAGGAUGAUCAGCCACACUGGGACUGAGACACGGCCCAGACUCCUACGGGAGGCAGCAGUGGGGAACAGUGGACAAUGGGCGCAAGCCUGAUCCAGCAAUGCCGGGUGAGUGAUGAAGGCCGUCGGGUCGUAAAGCUCUUUUAACAGGGAUGAUAAUGACAGUACCUGGAGAAUAAGCGCCGGCUAACUACGUG